GUAGGGCUGAUGAGGAAGGACAAAGGGAGGGGACGCGGGCAAUGGUGUCAGCUGCUAUUUCAGACUUGUUAACCUGACACUUAAAUGAACUACUACUGCUGCGUGGCGAUGCCAGGCCCUUCCCACGCCCUGCCUUCUCUCAUUCACUCAGCCAUUCUUCAGUGACUCUUUUAAGACGUCUUUAUUGAUUGUGCCAGACGCUGUUCUAAGUGAAAUGCGUGAAGCCCGUGGGAAUCAUGGAAGUGACAUUCUGGGAGGGAAUGUUACUUUCUGCUUUUUUACAGACCCUGCCCAGGAGGGACAGCAGGAGACAAUGCAUUCCUCAGGCCUGGAGCUGACCACUCUCAUAUACUGAGAUUCUCCACCUCAGGAGUUUGGAGAGACAAGGAUGUGGACCCUCUCCUCCAGGAUUCUGAUGAGGGGAACUGGGGGCUCUGGACAGAGUUCUAGGAUUCCAUGCAAGAUGCUGUUUGAAGAUCAACAGAGCCUUCUGCUAGAGGAAAUAACAGCAUGAGACGGCACAGGAGGCAGGAACCGCUUCAGAGCUGAGGAGCCUCUCCAUGCCUUGGUUUAUUCAUCUCUAAAAUGGAACAAUAGUAGAACUUGACUCUUAGGAAGUGUGAGGCCCUGGAUGAGCUACCGUGGGCUGCCCUGAAGGAGGCGUGGCACCAGCAAGAGCAGAAAGAAGAUGGUGGUCAUGGUUUCCAGGUGCUGGGGCUCGCUCGGGCCUGCACAGGGGAUGUCAUGAUUGAACCCAUGUUUAAUAGUUGCUCUCUGCUAGUGUAUUGGAGAAAGGAUUGGGGCAAGAGUGCUAAGACUAAACACAGAGAAAUUGUCAGAGGAAGUUAUUAUAUCCUUCUAUCUGCAAGAGGGCCAUAAGGCGAAGCAGCUGGAAUUAGAAAAGCUGCAACUAUUAAGGAGAUUUAGAAGGACUUGGUGACCAGAUGGCUGUGGGGAAGCCUCCGAGGAGAGUUGGGGACUCUGGCACCCUGUUUCAGGUUGGUCCAUUUGGCUGACUUUACUCUGGACUUCAGGAGCACCCCAGGCUCUAUACGCCUACCAUAGAGUUCAGAGCCGCUCUUGCUACCAGCAUCUUCCACCAGCUCCACAAGAGUUACUUGGCUUUUCUGAGCACAGAUGAAGACUCCUGGGAUAAAAAUGUUUGCCCUGGAAGAUAAAGACAUGGAAGGUAUUUUUUUUUCUUUUAAAGUCUGUGGAUAUCUGGCACACAUGGUUGUCUGGGUGCAUAUCAUGUGGGAUGGGUAGGCACCAGGACUGGAGGAGAGAGGAUUAAGCUCUUUGUGAUAUAUGUAUCCUCCCACCUCACAAUUCUGUGAAAAUGUCAGAUUUGGAAGUUUUGGUCCGAGAGAGGUUAGAGCAGCCACGUGCAGCUCUGAUUUCCCAGCCCAGGAUGCUGGAGUUGGUCCGUGUGCUCAUUUUCCAAACAUUGGGGAAAAGGACCUCUCUCUGCUGCUACCAGUGUCCCUGCAGAAAAUGCCUGACAAGACAGAGGAUCCCCCUUGCUUUGGUGGGUAUAAGACGAGCAUGCUCUUGAACUUUCAUGAACCCCAACAGGAGAAUCAGCCUUCUGUUUAAUUAGAUGUGGGCAUUGGGAAAAUGCAAAUGUUGGCUUUGGAGUUAAACUGACUUGAGUCUUGACAGGAAUCCAGCCUCCUUGGCUUGCAGGCGCUCCACCUUAUUAAAUGUGCCUUGCUGUCUAUCUCCGUGAGUUUUAUUGAUGGUCCACAUGUACAUGAAAAGACUCCAGGAUCGGAAGGACCAUCCUUCAUGCGGCGGCUGCAGAUUGACUCAAACUCUCACAUACUAAGCACGGAAUCAGUCACUCAGUGCCUUACUUCAUGGCAUCUCCCAGGGGCAAACUUGGGAGAUGCAGCAGUAACCAUAGGUUAUCCAAGUGAAUGAAAUGCGCCACAGAACGAGCGGCUGACAGUGCAGAUGUUUCCCUCUGCCAAGCAACCUGGUUGAUCUCAGCUGUGGCCCAUGGUUCAGCCAUGAGCUGUCUCUGAUAGGUGCAUUUUAAGCCACAAGGUGAUCGAUGGCGAUGGUGUCCACAUGGAAUUGGACAGCCCUGAAGCAGAAGAGCCGAUGAUGGAGACUCAUUACCUGGGAAAAAGUGCUCUGUCUUUCAGGAAGAGGAAUAAAAAAGUCCGUCAGCAGCUUUCUCAGGCUCUUUAAGAAUCACGCCGCAGCCCCAGGGAACAGACGAGCCCUUCAGUGCCUGACGCACCAAUUCCCCCUUCAAACCUUUACCCAUGAAGAUCCUUCACACGGUAUCAUUUUCUCUAAAUGUUUCUACAUCUCAAAUAUAUAAAUCUUCCCAGAGACAGACUUGCGUGUCAUUCAUCAUAUUGUUAAGAUGAUGAUGAUUAUGGGGUAAAUUAAGGACCAUAAUCAUAAACCUUAGAUAUUUACAAAUCACUGCUUUAUAGCUCUGUAAAAUUCUCCUCAAACUCUAUUUGAAUGCCUUUUUAAAAGUAAUGUUCUGGUACAAACCGGGGUUUUUGGAGCAGUGGUUAACUGAGAGCCCUUGGGGUCAGAAGAGAGGCUUCUAGGGCGCUUGUUGCUAUGGGGACGGGCAAAGCCAACUUCUGCUUCCUCCUGCAGACUUACCACAGUCAUGCACCGCCAUGCACCGGCUUAACGACGGGAUGAGUUCUGAGAAAUGUGCUGUUAGGCGAUUUUGUCAUUGUGUGAAUGUCACGGAGUGUACUUACACAAACGCAGAUGGUCCAGGUCAGUCGCUCAGGACGACCUUUGGAUGCAGUCAGGAGAUGCAGUAAACACAAGACCAGGGUCACAGGCAUGUUGCUUUACUGUACACUUUUUUUUUUUUUAAGAACAGAAGGAGUACACUCUUAAAAAAAUAAUUAAAAGUCUAGUAUA